CGUGAAUCGGAUUUUGGAGAAUGAUGAGAUGAAGGUUACCCUUAGUGGUGUCAAUUUAAGAAGAACUGGAUGACUUGAGGACCGUUUAAUCCCCAGGCCUACUGUAGCGGACCUUGAACUGAAGGCCAAAUCUUUGCAUGUCGAUAUCACAAAUCAUGCAAUUGACAAGGAAUUAGAAUCUUUGGUAAAUAAAAUCCAUACAUGCAAUGAGAAAGGGUGGAGAUUAGAAUAU